AUUGAACGCUGGCGGCAUGCUUUACACAUGCAAGUCGAGCGGCAGCGCGGGGGCAACCCUGGCGGCGAGCGGCGAACGGGUGAGUAAUGCAUCGGAACGUGUCCCGUAGUGGGGGAUAACCCGCCGAAAGGCGGGCUAAUACCGCAUAUGCUCUACGGAGGAAAGCGGGGGACCGCAAGGCCUCGCGCUAUGGGAGCGGCCGAUGUCCGAUUAGCUAGUUGGCGGGGUAAAGGCCCACCAAGGCGACGAUCGGUAGCUGGUCCGAGAGGAUGAUCCGCCACACUGGGACUGAGACACGGCCCAGACUCCUACGGGAGGCAGCAGUGGGGAAUUUUGGACAAUGGGCGCAAGCCUGAUCCAGCCAUGCCGCGUGAGUGAAGAAGGCC
rnacentral:rRNA from 1 species